CAUUUUGAUUGUACAGAGGAGCUCGUGGUUGUGUGUGCAUUGAGCGGAUUUACUGCGUUUUAUAAUAUUCUUUCUUGAUUUAUUUGAAGUGCAUGUGUGACGAGUGAACCUUGUGGUGAUUGGUAAAGGAUUGGUGGUGGGUACGUGAGCUGCAGGGACCCAGAGAGGAGGCUGUCAACUGUCCUGUGGGUGUCCAGCGUGACGACGUCGGCUAAGGGUUCGUGGCCAAGGGACCGGAUAGUUGGACGAAGAGGGGACUGAAGCUAUGGCAGCUAUUGCUAUAGCUAUUGCCAGCCUAAGUAGAGAGCCAUCUAGGUCUUACAUAUAUGUGCCAAGAGAGCGCCACAUUCAGUCUUUUAGUGGCAAUCUUAACAAAGAUGGUAGAAAUGUAGAUGAAUUCAUUGAAGAAGUGGAAAGGGUAUUGCUUGUGAGAAACCAGACUCCAGAAGACCAAACUUACUUUGUUCUUUCCCUAUUGAAAGGUGCCGCUUUGGAAGA